AUUAAGGUGGCAGAACCCGGUACAUUGCAGAAGGCCUAAGCCCUUCACAUAGAGGUUCAAAUCCUCUCCUCAAUU
rnacentral:tRNA from 1 species